CUUCAUCGAUGCGAGAGCCAAGAGAUCCGUUGCUGAAAGUUGUAUAGAUUUAUAGGCACAGAGGCCCAUGUAAUACAUUCUAUGACAUGCUAUGUGGUAUAUGAAAGGACAUAGACUUGAGGUAACAGAUAAGGCUUCAUUUGCAGAGAGCUGUACUU
rnacentral:rRNA from 1 species